rnacentral:rRNA from 1 species
GGAGAGUGCAAGCGUUGUUCGGAAUUACUGGGCUUAAAGAGCAUGUAGGCGGGGAUCUCAAGUGUCGGGUGAAAACCCCAGGCUCAACCUGGGAACUGCCCGGCAAACUGAGAUUCUUGAGGCAGGUAGAGGUGACCGGAACAACUGGUGGAGCGGUGAAAUGCGUAGAUAUCAGUUGGAACGCCGGCGGCGAAAGCGGGUCACUGGACCUGUCCUGACGCUGAGAUGCGAAAGCGUGGGUAGCGAACGGGAUUAGAUACCCCGGUAGUCCACGCCGUAAACGAUGCGCACUAGGUAUGGGAGGUUUUGACGCCGACCGUGCCGAAGCAAAAGUGGUAAGUGCGCCGCCUGGGGAGUACGGCCGCAAGGCUA